AUAGAUCAAUGUAGGUAAGGGAAGUCGGCAAACUGGAUCCGUAACUUCGGGAAAAGGAUUGGCUCUGAAGGCUGAGGGCGACCAGCCGGGUACUGCACGGAUACGGGCGUGUGCCACUCGUCGUGGAGAGCGCUUGGAGCUGCAUGCUCGCGGUUGCACAGCAAACAGCCAGUUCAGAACUGGCACGGUGAAGGGAAUCCGACUGUCUAAUUAAAACAAAGCAUUGUGAUGGCCUGGCUGGGUGUUGACACAAUGUGAUUUCUGCCAGUGCUCUGAAUGUCAACGUGAAGAAAUUCAAGCAAGCGCGGUAAACGGCGGGAGUAACUAUGACUCUCUUAAGGUAGCCAAAUGCCUCGUCAUCUAAUUAGUGACGCGCAUGAAUGGAUUAACGAGAUUCCCUCUGUCCCUAUCUACUAUCUAGCGAAACCACAGCCAAGGGAACGGGCUUGGAAGCACUAGCGGGGAAAGAAGACCCUGUUGAGCUUGACUCUAGUUUGGCAUUGUAAGGCGAUAUAGGAGGUGCAGCAUAGGUGGGAGAGUCAGCCCUUUACCGGGUUGGCUCGCCUCUGAGAUACCACAUUCUUACUGUUGCCUUACUUACAUGAUCGGGUGGAACAAGCGCGGGCCCCAGGUCCGGGUCGUACCGCCCACUCCCGCGCCGGGGUGUAAGCGUGUCGGCUCGCCCUGAAGCUGCCCAAUGCGCGUGGUUUCCUAGCUCCGCGUUCAGCAUGUCGCCUGGGUGGUGCCCACCGGGUGCGUGUGUCGUCGUAGCAUCGACGCGCGUCGUCACCGGGCGCGACCGCCGCGCGUGGCCCGCAAAGGGUUCAAGCGUGCGCACGUCGGUCCGUCCCGCGUGUUCUGUCGCCGUUCGACCGUUUGCGCCGAUCCGCCUUCCGCUUCUCCGGUUUCUGGUGCCGCUUGGCUCGAAAGACAUCUGAAUAAACCUCUCGGUCCGACGUCAUGGACAGGCCAGGUGGGAGUUUGACUGUGGGCGGUUACCAUCUCCAAAACGAUAACGGAGGUGUCCCAAAGGUCAGCUCAGAGUGCGACAGGAAACCACCGCUUUGAGCAUAAGGACAAAAGCUGGUUUGAUCCUAACGUCUAGUAGCAACGCCCGGGACAGCCGAAAGCUUGGCCUACGAUCCUUUGGUAACGAGUUUUAGCAAGAGGUUUCAGAAAAUGUUACCGACAGGGAUAACUUGGCUUGUGCCCCGCCCAAGCGUUCAUAGCGAUCUCGUGGUUUUUGAUCCUUCGAUGUCGCUCUUCCUAUCAUUGGUAAAGCAAAAUUUACCAAGCGUAGGAUUGUUCACCCUUUCAAGGAACGUGAGCUGGGUUUAGACCGUCGUGAGACAGGUUAGUUUUACCCUACUGGUGUGCAUUGUUUGUCGCUAUCUUAACGGAAUUCCUGUGCAGUACGAGAGGAACCACAGGUACGGACCACUGGCUCAAUACUAGUUCGAACGGACUAUGGUAUGACGCUACGUCCGCUGGAUUAUGCCUGAACGCCUCUAAGGUCGUAUCCAAUCCGAGCUGAUAGCGCUUCUUAUACCCAUUAGGUGGUCGUAAGCUAGCGGGCCUAACAACCCUCCGAGAACCGUCCGUGCUGUCCAUUGGCACACUGGCGUCUCAUCCCCGCUUACUACUAGGCCGCAAAGGGCGGGUUCGCGCUGCACGUGUUAGUACCAUACAUGUUGGGAACACCGGUGGACGAGCUUGCCGACUGUGGAUAUCACUAGUUUCGACACCUACGACCGCCCGCAAACGACGGGACUACAGGCUGGGAGCUUCAAGUUGUAGAGAUGCGUUCGCAUCGAUCCUCUCAGGCGACCCAUGCUUGGUGGUUA
rnacentral:rRNA from 1 species